CUACGGGCCGCUCCAGUGGGGAAUAUUGCACAAUGGAGGAAACUCUGAUGCAGCAACGCCGCGUGGGGGAUGACACUUUUCGGAGCGUAAACUCCUUUUAUAUGAGAAGAUAAUGACGGUAUCAUAUGAAUAAGCAUCGGCUAACUCCGUGCCAGCAGCCGCGGUAAUACGGAGGAUGCAAGCGUUACUCGGAAUCACUGGGCGUAAAGAGCAUGUAGGCUGGUUGGUCAGUCAGGUGUGAAAUGCUACAGCUUAACUGUAGAACUGCACUUGAAACUGCCAACCUAGAGUAUGGAAGGGGCAGAUGGAAUUAGUGGUGUAGGGGUAAAAUCCGUAGAGAUCACUAGGAAUACCGAAAGCGAAGGCGAUCUGCUGGGACAUAACUGACGCUGAGAUGCGAAAGCGUGGGGAGCAAACAGGAUUAGAUACCCGAGUAGUC
rnacentral:rRNA from 1 species